ACCCUACUGUGUACGUGACAUGGUCUCGAUGUUUUGAACCAACACUUUUUACAUUGGGAGUCCGGACUCUGUAUUGUAACGUAAUGCCCCGUGAGGGACUACGGAGCCUUAUGGGAGGACACCCACCUGCUCAUAGCAGGAUCAAAACUCGGUUAUAAACGGCAUGGCGGGGUUC
rnacentral:other from 1 species